rnacentral:rRNA from 1 species
AUGCUUAGAUAUGAUCUCGAGGACCAGAUCUCGGUCAUCUACUCGGAUGAGGAGGCAUACUGGUUGCUGCGCAGCACCCAACGGUGGGUGCUCCGUGGUGACGCUAACACGGCUUACUACCAGGCGAUCGCCAAUGGCCGGCAUCGACGGAACUCCAUUCACUCCUUGUGGGACGGUGAUACUCAGCUUGUUCGCCCCUCAGACAUCUGAGCCCAUGUAGACGGCUUCUAUAAAGCCCUUUUCUCCCCUACCCCUCGGGGUGGGGCUGCGCUGGCCCCCGACACUUGG